rnacentral:antisense_RNA from 2 species
CUUGAGUGAGCCGAGCCAGAGAGGCGUUUCGGCUGCCUUCUCCCGGCCGUAGGUGGCCAGCAGCGCCUGUGCCUC